rnacentral:rRNA from 1 species
UCCUACGGGAGGCAGCAGUGGGGAAUAUUGCACAAUGGGCGAAAGCCUGAUGCAGCAACGCCGCGUGAGUGAUGAAGGCCUUCGGGUUGUAAAGCUCUGUCUUUGGGGACGAUAAUGACGGUACCCAAGGAGGAAGCCACGGCUAACUACGUGCCAGCAGCCGCGGUAAUACGUAGGUGGCAAGCGUUGUCCGGAUUUACUGGGCGUAAAGGAUGCGUAGGUGGAUAUUUAAGUCAGAUGUGAAAUACCCGAGCUUAACUUGGGUGCUGCAUUUGAAACUGGAUAUCUAGAGUGCAGGAGAGGUAAGUGGAAUUCCUAGUGUAGCGGUGAAAUGCGUAGAGAUUAGGAAGAACACCAGUGGCGAAGGCGACUUACUGGACUGUAACUGACACUGAGGCAUGAAAGCGUGGGGAGCAAACAGGAUUAGAUACCCUGGUAGUCCACGCCGUAAACGAUGAGUACUAGGUGUAGGAGGUAUCGACUCCUUCUGUGCCGCAGUUAACACAAUAAGUACUCCGCCUGGGAAGUACGGUCGCAAGAUUAAAACUCAAAGGAAUUGACGGGGGCCCGCACAAGCAGCGGAGCAUGUGGUUUAAUUCGAAGCAACGCGAAGAACCUUACCUAGACUUGACAUCUCCUGAAUAGCCGGUAACUCGGCGAAGCCCUUCGGGGCAGGAAGACAGGUGGUGCAUGGUUGUCGUCAGCUCGUGUCGUGAGAUGUUGGGUUAAGUCCCGCAACGAGCGCAACCCUUAUUAUUAGUUGCUACCAUUUAGUUGAGCACUCUAAUGAGACUGCCGUGGUUAACGCGGAGGAAGGUGGGGAUGACGUCAAAUCAUCAUGCCCCUUAUGUCUAGGGCUACACACGUGCUACAAUGGUGAGUACAAAGAGACGCAAUACCGCGAGGUGGAGCAAAACUCAAAAACUCAUCCCAGUUCGGAUUGUAGGCUGAAACUCGCCUACAUGAAGCCGGAGUUGCUAGUAAUCGCGAAUCAGCAUGUCGCGGUGAAUACGUUCCCGGGCCUUGUACACACCGCC